rnacentral:rRNA from 1 species
GACAGAGGGUGCAAACGUUGUUCGGAAUUACUGGGCGUAAAGCGAGUGUAGGCGGUCUGAAAAGUCGGGUGUGAAAGCCCCGGGCUCAACCCGGGAAGUGCACUCGAAACUGCCAGGCUAGAGUAUCGGAGAGGUUGGUGGAAUUCUCGGUGUAGAGGUGAAAUUCGUAGAUAUCGAGAGGAACACCGGUGGCGAAGGCGGCCAACUGGACCGGAACUGACGCUGAGGCGCGAAAGCGUGGGGAGCAAACAGG